CAUUUCGUUUACCGCUCUAGCCCCCUUCGCUCUUUGUCUUCAAACUGCACACCGUCGACGAGGAACGGCGGUGGCGGUUGCGGCGGUGAGGCGAGGCAACGGUGGCAAGGCAGCGGUUGCAAGUUCUUCGUCUCUCUCUCUCUCUCUCUCUCUCUUUCUUGUCCAGCAGAUCGAAGGCGAGGGCGUGGCGUGGUGGUUGGCCAAUCGUGACGAGCAGGCAGCGCCCGCGACGGUGGUGGUCGGAGUUACAGUGGUUCGACGACAGUCCGGCAGCGAUGGAGUAGAUCGGCGGGGCAGUGACCUCCUCGGCAGUCCAGCAGCGAUUCGUCUCUCUCUCUCUCUCUCUCUCUCCGAACUGCAGACCAACAGCUCGACAGCCGACGACGAGGCAACGACGGUGGAAUCCAAUGUAUCAAUUUGCAAAUUAUUCAAGCCUUGGUUACAAAGACACAUGGAAAGGAUCAUUGAAGCUCCAAUUGAUCAAUCAGAGAUUUGACUUCUCUUGUGUUCACCGGUGGAUUCUUGACAGUAUUCUCACUCAGGAGUUUUUGGAUGGUCUUGAAACGUUCAUCCAAUUUGCUACUUGUCAACAUAGUAGUUGGAUAGGCGGGAAUGAAUUAGGUGUCUAUGUAAUCAGUGCAAGUGUAAAAACAAUAGCAAAGUGAGCUUCAAAACGUUCAUCAACGACAUUCUUCCCACUUCUAUGCCAUGACUUUCAACUACUUAAGCUGGACAUUCUGCUAAUUCAAAUACUGAAAAUCUAGGAGACGAUUAGAUUGUGUAUUAAUAUAUUUGGUACCGUUUCUAACGAUGUAACACUUUACAAUAUAAUGUUAUACUUUUGUUAUUGUUAUUGAUA